AACCAUAGCUAGGGGUGUCUAAAAAAUUAGGCUGAGAAAAACCCUUAGAACCUGAGACUGGGUAAUACCAGCGUAGGAAAGCUGUUUAUAGAGGAU
rfam:Cyanobacterium stanieri PCC 7202, complete genome.